rnacentral:sRNA from 1 species
UAAUUUACUCUUUAAAAUUUUAUUUCUAAUGGCAUACCUAUGUAAUUACUUACAAAAAUUAAGGUUACAUUUAAAAUGUACUUCCCAAAUAAUAUAAUAGGAUAACCUGUAUUUGUUUUUUCUUUGACAUUUUUUUCUUCGUUU